rnacentral:misc_RNA from 1 species
GAUGAAGAACGCAGCGAAAUGCGAUAAGUAAUGUGAAUUGCAGAAUUCAGUGAAUCAUCGAAUCUUUGAACGCACAUUGCGCCCGCCAGUAUUCUGGCGGGCAUGCCUGUCCGAGCGUCAUUUCAACCCUCGAACCCCUCCGGGGGUACGGCGUUGGGGAUCGGCCCUUUACGGGGCCGGCCCCGAAAUACAGUGGCGGUCUCGCCGCAGCCUCUCCUGCGCAGUAGUUUGCACACUCGCAUCGGGAGCGCGGCGCGUCCACGCCCGUAAAACACCCAACUUCUGAAAUGUUGACCUCGGAUCAGGUAGGAAUACCCGCUGAACUUAAGCAUAUCAAUAAGCGGAGGA